CGCCUUUCUCUUUUUCUUGUGCGCCUUUAGUGCUGCUCCCUCAUUUCCUUUUCUGUCUUCUUCAGUAUCCUCCGCCUUUCUCUUUUUCUUGAAUUUUUCACUAUCCUGCGCCUUUAGUGCUGCUUCUACCACCCCACUAUCCUCCGCCACCGCCUUUAGAGCUGCUCCCACCAUUCAGCUACAAGGGGAAUCAGACCAAGUGUCACCCUCCAUUCAGCUGAUGGAAUUAGGUGAUUUCAAGAGAAAUUUAAAUGCUGCUAUCCAUGGAUAUUUUGGAUACUUAUUUGGAUUAUGUCAGUCAGAUAAAGAUUCCAGCAGCCACAAUAGUAGCACUAGUCUUGAUAUCACUUCAAAUGAAAAUAAGUAGUUAGAGGAAUUAUUGCAGCAGUUCUCUGAAGUUUUUCAAGAGCCAAAAGGGGUACCUCCAACAAGAACUAAGGAUCACUAUAUUAAUUUAAAGGAGGGCAGCCAACCCAUGAAUCUCAGGCCCUAUAGAUACCCCCAUGUCCAAAAGGAAGAAAUAGAAAAAAAUAGUAAAGGAAAUGAUGCAAAAUGGUAUUAUCCAACCGAGCAAUAGCCCUUAUGCCUUUCCAGUGUUGUUAGUAAAAAAAACAAGACGGAACUUGGAGGCUAUGUGUGGACUAUAGAGCAUUAAACAACCAGACUGUUAAGGAUAAAUUUCCAAUUCCAGCCAUUGAUGAGUUGUUGGAUGAGUUACAUGGUUCCCAAUGGUUUUCUAAACUAGACCUAAGGUCCGGGUAUCAUCAAAUCAGAGUUAGCAAAGAGGACAUCCCCAAAACUACUUUCAAAACCCAUUUUGGCCAUUUUGAGUUUUUGGUUAUGCCAUUUGGCCUUACCAACGCCCCCGCCACCUUUCAAUCUCUAAUGAAUGAGGUAUUUCAACCUUAUUUAAGAAAAUUCGUCUUGGUUUUUUUUGACGAUAUGUUGAUUUACAGCAAGACCUAUUCAGAACACUUGACACACUUGCAACUGGUUCUACAAUCACUACAUGAACACUGUUUAUUUGCCAAGAGGAGCAAAUGUGUUUUUGGUACUAGACAGGUAAAAUAUCUUGGUCAUAUCAUAACUCAGGAAUGAGUUUCAACUGACAAGGAAAAAAUAAGUUGUAUGCUCCAUUGGCCUGUACCGACAAACCUCAAAGGCUUAAGGGGAUUCUUGGGGUUAACUGGUUACUACAAAAAAAUCAUAAGAGAUUAUGGGGUCAUAAGCAAGCCACUAACAGAUCUGCUUAAGAAAGAUAGCUUUACGUGGACUGAUAAAGCUACUGAGGCCUUCCAAAACCUCAAAACAACAAUGACAAAGGCACCGAUCUUGGCUAUGCCAGAUUUCAAGGAGCCUUUUGUGUUAGAAACUGAUGCUUCCCAUCAUGGAAUAGGGGCAGUCUUGUUGCAGCAAAAUAGACCCAUUGCCUACCUCAGUAAAGCCAUUUCUGCUCAGCACUUAGGACUGUCCACCUAUGAGAAAGAAUUGAUGGCAGUUGUAUUUGCUGUCAACAAGUGGAGACAUUACUUAUUAGGGAACAAGGUUUACAUCCAAACUGACCAUCAGAGCCUCAAGUACCUACUGGACCAAAGAAUCACUACUCCUAAUCAGCAGAAGUGGGUUACCAAGCUGAUGGGUCUAGACUACGAAAUAUUAUACAAAAAGGGUAAGGAGAAUGUAGUGGCUGACAGCCUCUCUAAAGCAAUUGAAGGUUCAGAAUCUGGACAAUCUUUCAGCAGUUCAACUGAAGAAUUAACUCACUGUCAGAUGAUCACUGUUGUGGUUCUUACUUGGAUACAAGAGGUGGCUUCUUUCUGGGAAGAGGAUACAGGAUUACGGGACCUCAUCACAAAACUACAAGUCCAACCAGAUGCAUUACUCGGGUAUACUUUCAGAAAUGGAAGACUCAAAUUUCAAGAAAAAUUAGCGGUGGGACCUAACUCGGAACUGAGGAAGAAGUUUUUAAAUGAGUUUUAUAACUCACCCAUAGGAGGACAUUCAGGUAUCAAGGGAACUUUUGAACGAAUUAACAAAUUUUUCUGGUGGCCAACUAUGAGACAAGAUGUUACUACCUUUGUUAAAGAGUGUGAUACCUGCCAAAAACAAAAACAUGAAACUAUAGCCUGCCCAGGCCUUCUUCAACCUCUUCCAGUUCCAAAUAAACCAUGGACUGACCUCUCUAUGGAUUUCAUAGAAGGAUUACCAAAAUCUUCACGCAUGACUUUUAUUUGGGUUAUAGUUGACAGAUUCACCAAAUAUGCUCAUUUUAUUGCCUUAAAGCACCCCUUCACAGCUGCCCAGUUGUCUCAAAUCUUUGUCUCAUAAGUUUACAAACUCCAUGGACUACCAACUACCAUAGUUUCCGAUAGAGACAAGGUAUUUCUGAGCCUAUUCUGGCAGUCCCUAUUCAAGAUAGUGGGUACUAGGCUGCAAAUGAGCACAGCCUACCAUCCCCAAUCUGAUGGCCAAACUGAGAGGGUAAAUCAAGUCCUUGAGUGUUACCUUAGAUGUAUGGCUACUCAAGAACCUCAAAAUUGGGUGUCAUGGUUGUCCCUAACUGAGUGGUGGUAUAAUUCCCACUACCAUGUGGGCUUACACACCUCACCAUUUGAAGCUUUGUAUGGAUAUAAGCCACCCCAUCUUAACUUCCACCAGUUUGGACAGAUUUCAGAUCCCACUGUUAAACAGUUCUGUAAAGAUAGGGCUCAGUUUAUGCAUAUGUUAAGGCACCAGUUGCUAACAGCUCAAUCCAGAAUUAAAAGUUAUGCAGACAAACACAGAACAGAAAGGUCUUUCGAACCAGGAGAUAGGGUGUAUCUGAAGGUGAGACCUUAUAAGCAACUGACCUUAAAGCAGUCCAGAUACGUGAAACUUGCCCCCAAGUACUGUGGUACUUUCUUAGUUGAACAGAAGGUGGGAGCAGUUGCUUAUAAAUUGAAGUUACCUGGACAGGCCAGAAUCCACCCUACCUUCCAUGUGUCCUUACUCAAAAAGAAACUUGGCUCACAGUGCAACUCCUCUCCUGAUUUACCUCCUAUGGACUCUGAAGGUUUUUUCUUAGUGGAACCAAUUGCCAUCCUUGAUAGGAGAUUGGUCAAACAGAACAAUGCUCCUAAUGUUGAAGUCCUAGUACAGUGGGCAAAUACUUUACCGACUGAGGCCACUUGGGAGAACUGGGAUCAAUUGCACAAGAAGUUUCCUCAAUUUUGCCCUUGAGGACAAGGGCCAUUUCAAGGGAGGAGGAAUGUAAGGUGGCAGUGUAUGACCAGCUGAUGUAUUCAGUUACCGACUGAGGCCACUUGGGAGAACUGGGAUCAAUUGCACAAGAAGUUUCCUCAAUUUUGCCCUUGAGGACAAGGGCCAUUUCAAGGGAGGAGGAAUGUAAGGUGGCAGUGUAUGACCAGCUGAUGUAUUCAGUGGAGUUCAAUAAUAAAUGCAUUAGGAUAGUAAUGUCUUUUGCUUGGUUAUUCAGGGUCAGUUUAGUCUUUUACGUUAUAAGUUGUUAGGCUCAUUUUUUGAGCUAUAGUUCAUUCUAGAAUCUGUUGAUAGAUUGUUUCCUUUGCUUUCCCUUUCUACUGAAUCCUCUUCUCUCACUAUGUUCUUCCUUUCUUCUCUAUUACUUCUCAUCUUAGUUUUCUCUUCCAUAAAAUUAUACAAUCUGGUAUAUACUUUGUUCCUAUUACUGUAUUUUCACCUUUAAAACCUUACAGAAUAAUCCUACCUUUGUCCACCACAUCAUUUGCAAGAAAUGAAUAGAACUGAGAGAGAAAGAUUAGAAAUGGAUUAAAGUUUUUAAAAGAUUGCAGAUAAAUAAAUCUAUUCCAUGACAAUUCUCUGGCAUUCAUCCUAUUCUCUAAGUAACAGAUACAGUUCAUAUAAAUUUCCUAAGAUUGAAGAUGAUAGGUAAAGAAUAAUCCAUAGUGUUAAUGUGAAUUAUAUAUAAAGAGAAAAAAAAUAGAUAAUAGGGAAAAAUAACACCGGUAACUAAGACAAGAGUGCUUCAGUGUUUGGUGUAAUAAACGAUGGGACCCUGAGUCUACAAAAGAAGGAGUCUCAAUUCACUACUAAAUAAUGCAACAUAAAUAAAGAUACCUGCUUAAAAUCAACACGAUCACGCCCUAUCUUUUCUUCCUCUGUAGACUGUAAAUACCCCCAAAUGCAGGGGCCAACGAAUGCAAGGUGAAUCUAUUAGGAACAUUCCUAAGUGUGCCUUUAGUGAAAAUCCAUCUGUUCCUCUUUUGUUUCAGAAUACAGGUAGGUUACCAUCUAAAAACAGCAACAAAGGUCAUCUCCUUCCCAUCUCGGGUAGGGGAUGACCUUUUAUGAAACUUUUUUCAUAAAGAUAUGAAGAUAAUAAGUUUCUUGAGAGAGAGAGGUGUUUCUGAGAGAAACUGGGAGGAAAUGAAUUCGGAAGGCGGAUGGGUAAGCAAUAAUAUAGAAAGAAACUCGGAGAAAUAAUGAGUUUUCAAAUACAAAGAUUCUUGAGAGAGAGAGAGAGGUGUUUCUAUGAGAAACUGAGGGGUACAAUCCUAUUUAACCGCUUCUUGAAGAGACUUUGAAUGAAGGCUACAUGGCUUAGAAUGUUAAAAAUCUCCAUCGAUUGGGAAUUUGGGAUCAAAGGAAAUUGUUUUUUGGGAUAAGGGGUUUAGGGUUUUACAGAGACUAUGUUUUCGAUUUGCAGUGAUCGGUAGGGUGACGACUGACAAAACUGCCCCCCCUCCCCCACACACAAUUAUUUUUAACUCUUAAAUUAUUUAGUGCUAACGUCAUCAAUUAAGUUUUUUUUCGUUUCCUUUCUCUGGUUAAGUAAUUAAG
rnacentral:lncRNA from 1 species